rnacentral:rRNA from 1 species
UACGGAGGAUCCAAGCGUUAUCCGGAUUUAUUGGGUUUAAAGGGUGCGUAGGCGGUUUAUUAAGUCAGGGGUGAAAGACGGCAGCUUAACUGUCGCAGUGCCUUUGAUACUGAUGAACUUGAAUGUACUAGAAGUAGGCGGAAUGUGACAAGUAGCGGUGAAAUGCAUAGAUAUGUCACAGAACACCGAUUGCGAAGGCAGCUUACUAUGGUAUGAUUGACGCUGAGGCACGAAAGCGUGGGGAUCAAACAGGAUUAGAUACCCUGGUAGUCCACGCCCUAAACGAUGAACACUCGAUGUUGGCGAUAUACGGUCAGCGUCAAAGCGAAAGCGUUAAGUGUUCCACCUGGGGAGUACGCCCGCAAGGGUGAA